rnacentral:sRNA from 1 species
CAACAAAUCUCAAUCUAUACAAACAAUACUUCCUUCUUCUUUCGUGGUUCAGUCCAUCCCAACAAACAACCAUCAACAUGUCUCCCUGCUCCUGCAACUGCUGCUCCGGCAACUGCAACUCUUGCUCCUGCUCCAGCUGCACCGUAUGUCCUCCUUUCUC